AUGAGGAGGUAGUGACGAGAAAUAACGAGACCGAUCUCUUGGUACAAUUUAAACCCUUUAACGAGUAUCUAUGAGAGGGCAAGUCUGGUGCCAGCAGCCGCGGUAAUUCCAGCUCUCAAAAUGCAUAGAAUUAUUGCUGCGGUUAAAAAGCUCGUAGUUGGAUCUGUGCUAGCCGGCCGGUCCACCCACUGGGUGUGCACUGGUUCGGUUGGCUUUUCUGCCGGUCUUUCCCCGGCGUUGGCCUUCACCGGUCGGCGUCGGUGGGCUGGCGAGUUUACUUUGAACAAAUCAGAGUGCUUCAAACAGGCGUUUCGCUUGAAUGUUCGUGCAUGGAAUAAUAGAAGAGGAUUUCGGUCCGAUUUUAUUGGUUUUGCUGACCGAGAUAAUGGUUAACAGAGACAAACGGGGCCAUUCGUAUUGCUACGUGAGAGGUGAAAUUCUUGGACCGUAGCAAGACGGGCUACAGCGAAAGCAUUUGGCAAGAAUGUCUUCAUUAAUCAAGAACGAAAGUCA
rnacentral:rRNA from 1 species